rnacentral:rRNA from 1 species
GAUCCUGGCUCAGAUUGAACGCUAGCGGGAUGCCUUACACAUGCAAGUCGAACGGCAGCACGGACUUCGGUCUGGUGGCGAGUGGCGAACGGGUGAGUAAUGUAUCGGAACGUGCCCAGUAGCGGGGGAUAACUACGCGAAAGCGUAGCUAAUACCGCAUACGCCUACGGGGGAAAGGCAGGGGAGUCGCAAGACCUUGCACUAUUGGAGCGGCCGAUAUCGGAUUAGCUAGUUGGUGGGGUAACGG